CUCAGAGAGUAAUGUCCAGCUAUCUUCUUUCCACCCCAGCCCACCGAAACCUAACAAGAUAAUUUUGGAGAGAUCAUUGAACUGCUGUGAAAUUGUUUCCUUACAUAGAAAAGAAAAAAAAAAUAUUCCACGCUAUUUCUGGCCACAAGAGUUUGGAAAGAAGCAAAUGAAAUGGUAAGUAUGAAUGUUAUAUCUAUAUGGUAAGGUCCAAUAUAAAUAUAAAUGUCUAGUAUACUUAUGUGCAAAAAACCAUAAAAGUUCUUGCUCUUUGGUUACUGGAUAUGAAUAUUUUUACAAAUACAUCUGUAUUUGUGUUUAUUCAUUCUAUUAUAAAAUGGAAUAAAUCUAUAUGAUAUUGACUAAGCACUUCACUGAUGUAUUCACACAAAGUGAAGGGUUUAAAAUCUUACUUUUCUAAAAAGUGGGAUUUCCUGAAUAGUAGAAAGAGUCUACUGAAUCAUGAAUCUUAUCACAUUAUUACCAAGUAGAAAAGUAAGUUUUCCUCAGAGCAGUUAUUCCCCAAGGCACUUUUUUAAUAUGAAUAUGUAAAAGGUAAAUGUAAAAAUUCUUAUUAUCAGCCCCCCCCCAAAUAAACUUACUACCUAUUAUUUAAUUCGUAUUCCUCACUUACCUCACCCCCUAACACACAUUAUGGAAUUGCCUAAUCUGAACAAUUCAUACACACACAAUCAUACAAUGGGUGGUCUUUCAGGACUGAAUUCUUAGACUUAGCAUAACAUUUAUUAGUUUCACCCAUAUUAAAAGAUGUAUCAGUCUUUCAGCCUUUAUUGCUAAAUAACAGUUUGUCAUGGGAUAUCACGUUUUGUUUACCCAUUCAUCACUUGAUAAGCAUUUGAUGAAUUAUUUCCACUGUUUGGCUAUUAUGAGUAAUGCAGCUAUGCACAUUAGUGCACAAGUGUCAUGGACAUAUGGACAUAUUUUUAUUUCUUUUGGGUAUGUACUUAUGAGAAUUGCUGGGCCAUAUGGUAACUGUAAGUUUAGCUCUUGAAGAGUGGCCAAACUUCCCCAAAGUUAUUGCACCAUUUUAUAUUGUCAUCAGUAAUAUAUACUUGUUUUAGUUUCUUUGCAUGCUUGCUAACCGUUGCUAUUUUGGGUCAUUUUAUUAGAGCCAUUUCACUUGGUCAAGAUGUGCAAUCCUUUAUAUUUAUUGUGGUAUUUAGUUUGUUAAUAUUACUUAGAAUUUUUAAAAUCUACAUUCUGAAGACUAUAAGCAUUAUUUUUAGAUGUCUGUCUGGCUUUGUUAUCAAGGUAUUAUAGGCUGCACAGCAUGAUUUGGGAAGUAACUUUAUAUAUUCUGGAAUGCAAAUUAUUUGCUAAUAUUUUAUAACAUUCUGUGGCAUGUGUGUAUGUAUUUAUUUUUUGCCACAUCGGGGAUUUAACUCAGGGCUUCGUACUUUCUAGGCUAGGACUGAGAUAUAUUUCAGUUCUUCCCUACUUAAAAAAAUUUUUAUUUUGAUACCCAGUCUUGCUAAGUUGCCAAGGCUGGCUGUAACUUGGAAUUCUCCUGUCUUAUCUUCCUGAAUAGCCAGAUUACAGGCAUACACCAUGGCGCUCAACUCUUUUAAUUUUCUUGAUGAUAUUCUUUUACACUAAAAUCUUUAAUUUUGAUUGUUUUAAAAUUAUAAUUUUUUCAUUUGUUUUCAUACUGUUGGUGUCAUAUCUAGGAAUACGGCCCUAUUCAAAGUCAUGAAGAUCUAUGCCUAAUGUUUUUCUCUAAUAAUUUUAUAGUUUCUGCUUUUAUAUUUAGAUAUGAGUCAUUUGAACUAAUUUUUGUGUGUGGUAUUUGGCAGGUGUACAACUUCAUUCUUUGGCAUAUGCAUAUUCAGUUAUUCCAGAAUUUUGUUAGUACUUGCUGAAAAUCAAUGGACCAUAAUGUAAGGGUUUACAUCUGUGCUCUAACUUCGAUUCUAUUAUAGAGUAAUUGUUUAUUCUUCUGCCAGUACCACACUGUCACAUACUGUAGCUUUGCAGUAAGUUUUAAAUUUAUAAAGUGAAACUUUUUCAACAAUCUUCUUCCUUUUAAAGAUUGUUUUGAAUAAUUUUAAGUUUCCAUAUGAAUUUUCAUAUCAGGUUGUCAUUUUUGCAAAAAAGCCAUCUGCAAUUUUGGUAGACAUUGUUGAAUUUGAAGAUCAUUUGGAGAGUAGUAUUAUUUUCAUAAUAUUGUCUCAAGAACAAAGGUUGCCUUUUUCAGUUAUAGCCCUUUCUCAAUUUCCUUCAUCAAUAGAAUAGUAGUUUUUACAAUAUACAUUUCAAACUUCUAUUUUGCUUAUAUUUCUAAGUAUUUUAUGCUUUCUGAUGCUAAUGUAAAUAAAAUUAUUUUUGAAGUCUCAUUAAUAUUAUAUUUUUCUUGUGUAUAGAAAAAAUUGAUUUUACUAUACCAAUGUUCAAUUUUUUUGAUCAAAUUAAUUCCUAGAGAUUUUAUUGUAUUUAUACUAUUUUAAAUGGAAUUGUUCAUUUAAUUUCAUUUUUAUUUUUCAUUAGUAAUAUAUAGAAAUAAAAUUCAGUUCAUGGAUGUUAUAUUUGCAACUUAGCUGGAGUUACUUUUAGUUUUAGUGGUGUUUAUAGUGAAUUCCUAAAUAUAUACCUGUUCAAGAUCUAGUAUGGAGGUAGCGACUGCUAGUGUAUAUGAAUGUCUGUUUUCCUUUCUCUGCCUGAAUCCAUGUCUAAACUGGGUUUCUCAGGACUUUUACAUUAAAUGAGGUCAUAAGAUUGAAUUAUAAGACCAUGGAAUCUGGAUAGAAGUAAUACACAAUACUGUUAGAUAGGAUCUAGAUUUUUAUAACCAUCCUAUACUACUUCAUUUUCCUUGUCUAUAGUUGAUGAUGAGCAUGCAGAAGAAUUUUCAGGUCUGAAGAAAGUGUAGAUGGCACACACAUUGAAGAUACAGAAUCUAAACUGAAUAAGUAGACUCUUCAGAAGGGAAUUGUGCUCCCUCCAGAUUCACAUAUUGAGGCCCUGCCCUCCAGUGUGACUGUUUUAGGAGAUAGUUCAAGUGAGGUCUAAAGGUGAGGCUCUUGUCUGAUAGGGUUGGUUGCCUAAUAGGAAAAAAAAUGAAUCUCAGGAUAGUUUUAGUUUGCAUUUCUAUAGUUGCUAGAAAUGUUGAACAUUUUUUCAUAUAUUUGUUGGCUGUUUGUAUGUCUUCUGUGAAGUGCCUUUUCAGUUUCUUUACCCAUUUAUUUAUUGGGUUUUUUGGUUUUUUUGGGGGGGAUGUUAAGUUUUUUGAGUUCUUUGUAAGUCUUGGAGAUUAAGGCUCUAUCUGAGGCAUAAGAGGCAAAAAUUUUCUCCCAUUCUGUAGGCUUUCUCUUCACAUUCUGGUUUAUUUCCUUUGCUGUGAAAAAGCUUUUUCGUUUGAACCCAUCCCAUUUAUUGAUUCUUGAUUUUACUUCUUGUGCUAUAGAAAGUCUGUCAAAAUGGCAAUUAUCAAAAAUACAAGUAACAGUAAAUGUUGGUGAGGAUGUGAGGGAAAAAUGUACACUCAUACAUUACUGGUGGGACUGCAAAUUGGUGUAAUUAUCCUGGAAAGCAGUAUGGAGAUUCCUUAGAAAACUUGGAAUGGAACCACAAUUGAACCCAGUUAUCCUACUCCUGGGUUUAUACCCAAAGGACUUAAAAUCAGCAUACUACAGUGAAUCAGCCACAAUUAUAUUUAUAGCAGCUCAAUUCAUAAGCUAUGGAACUAAACCUAAGUGCCCUUCAAUGGAUGAAUGGAUCAAGGAAAUGUGGCAUAUAUACACAAUGGAGUAUUGCUCAGACAUAAAGAAGAAUGAAAUUAUGGCAUUUGCUAGUAAAUGGAUGGAACUGGAGAAUAUCAUGCUAAGUGAAAUAAGCCAAUACCAAAAAACCAAAGGCAGAAUGUUCUCUCUGAUAUGGAGAUGUUAACACAUAAUAAGGGUGGGGGAGGAAAGAAUAGAAAGUCAUUAGAUUGGACAAAGGUGAAUGAAGGAAAGGAAGAGGAGAUGGGAAUAGAAAAGACAGCAGAAUUAGUUGGACAUAACUUUCCUAUGUUCAUAGAUGAAUACAUGACUAGUGAAACUCCACAUCAUGUACAACCUCAAGAAUGGUAUCUUAAUUAGAAUAAAUUAUACUCUAUGUGUAUAUAAUAUGUCAAAAUAUACUAUACAUUCAUGUACAUCUAAAAAGAACUAAUUAAAAAUAAAUUAAUAGCAUCUAUUUCUAUUGCUUAUGACAUACAGUAUAAUUUGAAAAACUACAGAUGGUAUAUAUUCAUUUCUGCCUUUAUUUGGUUAAAAUAGAUUGUUAUUGAGAAUUUAAAGAAAAAUAAUAAGAAAAGUAGAAGGACUUCAAUGUCCAACCCCGAGGGCAUAAAAUGAUGGCAGCCAUCUAUUAGCCAGGAGGAGUAAUCCUACACCAAAAAUUGAAUUUGCCAAACUGGUUUUGGAAAACUAACACCUAGAGCUGUGAGAAAGCCAAGCGACUAUUGAUUAUUGUUUGAGUACUCACACUGCUAAUCUGCUUUAAAAAAGAACAUCAAUGAACACUAUUGUAAAAAACAGAGGCAGUAAAAAUUGGAGUUGUUUGUUAAAGCACUUAACCUGCUGUGAUUAAUAUAACAUAAGACAAUAUGUGGGAAGAUAACGAAUACAGGUUUUCCUAAAAACUGCCAUAGAUGUCAGUAUUUUAACUAUAAAAAGAACCCCUUCAAUGAAGCUAGAGUUUUACCACAGCGUUUAAACAUGCAGAAUAUUAUCAUUUAGUUUCCUGGACCAACUAUAAUAAAAUUAAAUAAUUAUUAUGUUGUCUCAUAAACCUGAGAGGAAAUAAUGAUCUCUCUCUUUUUUUUUUUUUAAUUUAGAAAUUCUUUGAGAAGAAUGUCCUAACCAUAUGAAAGGCUGAACCUGAUUUAGCAACUAUGGGGACAGAAAAGCACAAGUUUUGUUUGUUUUCUAACAGUUGUUAAAACAAGAAAAUCAGAGUGAACUAUGAACAGAAGGAUGUAGUCUAGUAAGUACACUCAUGUUUUGGAAACUGAAACAAAAGCAGAAAAAAAAAAUUGUCUCACGUAUUACACACAAAUUCUUCAAUGUGAAGUCCUUGUCUGCUAAAGAAAGUUUAAACCAUGCUGUCAUUUUGACUUGGCAAAUCUCUUUAUUUUUCAAAUACGAGUAUGUGUUCAACUGUUUAAUUUUGAAAUAUGUAUGACACAUUUGACCCAUAACACAUCUGUCAAGGUCUUCUUCACAUUAACGUUUUGGUAAAGAAAAACUUGGUUAGCUUAUUAGUUACAAUUAGAAAAAAAAAGUCUUAGAGGUUGCACAAAUCCAUGUUUGUUAUAAAACAUUGUACCCCAAAGGUGUCUGUGUCCUAAUCCCAGGACCCAUGAAGAUGUAACCCUGAAAAAAAAGAGAUUUACAGAUGAUAUUAAAUCUAGAGUCUUGAGACGGGGAGAUUUUUCUGACGUGCCUGGGUGGGCCCACUGUAAACACCAGGGUCCUUGUAAGAAGGAGGCAGUGAGUCAAAUCAAGCAGGAGAUGAGACCUGGAAACAGAGGUCCAGGUGAAGCAGCUGUGAACUAGAAGAGCAGUCCACCUCUGGAAGGUGAAAGGAGUGAGCAGCAUGUUGCCCCCACAGUCCUCAGAGAGUCUGUGGGUGGGCCUGCAUCUUGAUUUUAGCCCUGUAUGUUUUCUAGAACUGUUAGCCAAUACAUGAUUUUAAGUCCAGAGACUUAUGAUAAUUUCUCAUAGCAGCAAUAGGAAAUGAACACAAGAAGUUUACUCUUAUUAAAUCACAAAAUAAGUAUAGAGAUGGUUGUUUUUCUCUUGGUGGUCAUUCUUGUCUUAAAACAAUCUCCGUUCCCCUACCUAUUGUACUAUUGAAGCCAGAAUUAGAGAGGAAAUCAGUGUAGAUAGGUAAAUCAAGUCAGGUCGGAUCUAGGAGGCCAAUUUUGAGUGAAUCUGGGAAGUUGGAGACUGUUCCCUGAGGGAUCUUAAUCAAGAACCUGUCUCUGCUCCAACCUGUUGCCAAGAUAACCUCCUCCCUACAGGGAGCUAUAAGGUUGUUAAUAUGUCUUUGGCUACUCCUUCCUGCCCAUCCCACUGAGCAUUCCUGGGCCUAGUCACUGUAUACAGGAAGGAGAAAGAUGAGCCAGAAAAAGCAGGAGAACAAAGGAAGCCUAGGACAUAUGAAAAGGGUAGAACACCUCCCCUCUUGGGAUACCAGGAUACCAGCUAUGGCCCCCUUCUCCCUUGCGGGAGAAGUCUAUGUUACCCCUUUUUAAAUAAGCCCUGCUUUCUAUGCUUGCCUGGGCUUGCUUCUCUAAUGUUCAAACUUCAACAUGUGGGGAAGCGGUAUCACUAUCUCUUGUAAUUUGAUCUUUGCUAUGUCUUUUCUCUACUUUCUGAGAAAUUACCUCAACUUGAUCAUAAGAAUUAUUUAAAACUAGGUUUCCACAUUGUCAAUUAUAUUGUUUUUAAUAAUAUAAGUAUUAAAUUCAUUAGGUUUAAUCUAAGCACAUACAGAAUAGUGAUGUUUAACUGAUCUCAUUAUAAAUAACUAGCAAAAAAUAAAUAAUUCAUUCUUUUUAUAUGAAGAUAAAAUUAAGUAAUAUGUGUAAAGUACUCUGAAAAGAAACUUACAUCUCAGAAUUGGUUGUUUAUUUAAGUUCUUUGCACCUGGGAUUGUAGCAAUAUUGAAAUUUUUCUAGGGAUGGUGAGGCAAAGGUUAAUUGGACACUUUUCUAUCUUUGAAGUGCAAAGUUAUAUGAGAAAAAAUGGCAUUUAAAUUGAUAGUUGCAAGACAUAAUGUAGGGUAUGAAUUUGAAGAACUUACACACACACACACACGGCACAAGCACACAUAUACCCUACCAAAAAUGUUAAUGUCUAAGUCAGCUAGAUUUAAAGUAAGGUUGCUAAUGGUUUGGUUUGGUUUUCAAAAGUUUUUAGCUGAAAACUUUAUUCAGUGAGAUCAGCAUUUAAAUGUAGCUGAAGAAUUUCCAUUUGAGUAAACACUGAACAUAAAACUUACAAUUCAUUAUUCAAUAUCCAGUGUUGUUACUUCAACAUUUGUGGGUAUUUUGAUUUUGCCAAAACAUUAAAGCAUUUUAUUUUCACUAAUUAUGAUUUAAUACAAUUGGCAAACUGUAAAGUGGAGUCUAGUUGAGCCUAUAUAUAAAUUGGGUGACCCUGUUCCACUGAUUCUAAUGAAUGUGCCACUUUAUUCUCUGAAGCACAUGGAUAAACAUUGAAACCUGAUUGCAAAAGUGUCAUCUAGCAGUCACCUCUUGAGAAGAAUUUUAGUUUUGACACAUCCUAUUUUCUCAUGUGGUAUAUAUUACAGAAUUUAAAACUAGCAUUAUUCUGAUUAUUAUGUCUUGUGACCAAGGAAGUAUUUAUAUAACACAAUGUUAAGGUUUUAAUAUAAUAAAAUAACAUUUUAAAGAAGAAAUGUCCUAAAGCAUUUAAAUAAAUCAGAUUUUUCUAUGAUCUUUGCAGAUUUAUCUUAUAUAGAAUUAUUAUUUUUGAUGAAUGAAAUUAAACACAUUUUUAUAAUCACGUGUAAGAUCUAUGUCUUUUCUAUUUUUUCAGAUUAAACUACAGCCAUUAUGAUGUCUGCUACGUGGACAUUAAUUAACAAUAGCAAAUGGCAGAAAUCAGGUUUUAACACAUCAGACCUUUAACUUUCAUAAUAAUGAUAAAAAUGAAGUUGAUAAAAUUAAUAGUUUUUGAAAAUAACAGUUAACAUUUGAUCAUCAUUUUUAAAUUUUCAAAGAAAUUACAUAUCAAUCAUAUCAUUUUCUCUUUACAACUACUCUAAGAGAAAGGAAAGGUGUUAAACUGCUGUUUUAUACAACAGGAAAGUUAAGCAACUUCACAGAUUAUAAACAUGCUAGUUACAGAUUUUGGAAUAGAACUACUUUUGUUUAUUUCAAUAUAUAAAAUAAAUCCAUUAGUCUUUGGCAAAAGUUAGCUCUGAAGAAUGAUGAAGAUGUAACUUUCUAUGCAAGUUAUGGUUCUGUCAUGUUUGUCUCAAAGCAGUAUUCUUAAUUCAUCUCCUUCUGAUUUCAUUGUUCCUGCCACAUCAUAAGAUAUAGUCCUCUUCCAGCUGAGUUCCUCACAACUGAUUCUUCCGUAAGACACCUAGAAUGUUCACAUCAGUUCAGAUUCAAGUAUAUAUUUCCUAUACUGCACAUUUAGCUUUAUAAAAAACUACAAAGCUCUUUUUUCAAAGUGGUGAUAAUACUUUACAUUUUUACCAGCAAUGUGUAAAAACUGAGUGUUUUCAAAUCUUUAAUUAUAGUAUUGUUAAUAUUUUAAAUUUUAACCAUCUUAUAUGUUUGUAGUGUUCUCUGAUUUAUGUUUUGAGUUUUUUAUUUAUUGUUUUUACAUAUAAAUGACAGUGGGGUAUAUUUUGACAUAUUAUACAUUCAUGGGUUGCAACUCAUUACAUUUUGAUCCCAUUCUUGUGGUUGAACAUGAUGUGGAGUUACACUGGUCAUGUAUUUAUAUAUGAAUAUGGGGAAGUAAUGUCCAAUUCAUUCUACUAUCUUUCUUAUUCCCAUCCCCCCUCCCUUCCUUUAUUCCUCUAUGUCUAAUCCAGUGAACUUCUAUUCUUCCCCUCUCUUCCCUCCCCUGUUAUGGGUUACCAUCCACUUAACAGGGAAAACAUUUGACCUCUGUUUUUGGGGGACUGGGUUAUUUUACUUAGCAUGAUAUUCUCCAGUUCCAUCCAUAUACCAGCAAAUACUAUAAUUUCAUUUCACCCAUAAAAAUACUGAAUAUUUCUUCACAUGCUUUUCCCCAAUUGUAUAUUAUCUUAGUGCACAAUCUUUAUAAGCACUUUGUCCAUUUUUUUGCUUUUAUUAUUGAAUUUAAGGACUCUUUAUAUAUUAUAGAUACAAAUUCAUUGCCAGAUACAUAUGACAAAUACUAAAAAUAGUUUAUGCAAGUCUGUGGCUUUUCUUUUCAUUUUGUUAACAAAGAGUAAACAUCUAUAAUUUUGACCAAGUCUAAUUUAUCUUCUUGAUGGUGUUGUCUUCUUUUAUUUGUGUGUGUGUGUGUGUGUGUGUGUGUGUGAGAGAGAGAGAGAGAGAGAGAGAGAGAGAGAGAGAGAGAGAGAGAGAGAGAGAAAGAGUUUUCCCUAAGGAAUUCUUGCUCCAAAAAUUUGUGCAAAAAGAAAAACUUUCAAAUAUUACAAAACAAUUAAAUUGAUGAAUCUUUGAACCUGGGUUUCUUGGUGUAGAUUAAAAGAAAUAAAAAUAUAUGGAUAGUAGUAACUACUUAAUCUGAAAAUAAGUUAAUCCUUUCUUUAUUCUACUCAAGUUAAGCCAUUUUGAUGAACAACUUAUACUGCUAUAAAAAUCUGUGUUAGUUUAUGUAGGCAGUGUUUAUUUUUCUUAGAAAUUGAACUUUCUCUUUUUCUCAUAUGUGUUGAGAAGAAUUUGAAGGAACAAAGAAAUUACAAAAAUCCAAAGAAAAGCAAAUAAAAUGACUGUAGUAAGUGUAAGUCCUUAUCAAGCAAGAAAUACACAUUCUUCUCAAGUGCACAUGAAACAUUUUCUAGGAUAGAUCGUGUUAGCCACAAGAUAAGUUUUAACAAAUUUAAGACUGGAACUAUAUCACAUAUCUCUCUUGACCACAAUGGUGUGAAGUAAGACAUUAAUAAUGGGAGAAAAACUAGAAAAUUCACAUAUACAUAGGAAUUAAAUAGCAUAUUCUUGAACAAUUGAAAAUUCAAAGAUAUCAAAAGGGAGGUAAAGAUAUACCUAGAUAAAACAAAAAUGGAAACACAACAUAGCAAAACCAGUUCUAAAUAAGAAAUUUAUAUUAAUGAACACCUACACUAAGGAAAGGAAAGAUCUCAAACAAUCCAAAUUUACAACUCCAGGACCAAGAAAAAAGAAUGAAAGAGCCCAAAGUGAUUAGAAGAAAGAAAAUUAGGAAGAUCAGACUAAAUAUAAAUUAUAUAAAGAACAGAAAAAUGAUGGAAAUGAUCAAUGAAAGUGAAAAACUUAAGCAAAACUGACAAGUGUUUAACCAAGUAAAAACAAGAAAAGACACAAAGAAAUAAAAUUAGAAAUCUAAGUGGGUACAUGUGAAUAAAACCAUAGAAAUACAAAGCAUCAUGAGACAGCUAUGAGCAAUUAUAUGCCAACCAAUUGAAAGAUCUAGAAAAAUGGGAAAAAAAUCCUGGAAAUAUACAAACCGUCACAACUGAAUAAUAUAGAAAUCUGAACAGAUCAAUCAUGAAACAGGACACUGAACCAGUAAUCAUAAAUCUCCCAAUAAAGCAAAACCCAGGACAAGAAGCCUUCACUAGUGAACUCUACAAAACCUUUAAAGAAUUAGUAUCAAUCCUUUUUAAACUCUUCCAAAGAGUUGAAGUCAUUUUUGGACGCCUUGAUUUACAGAGACAGCUUUGCUUCAGCUACACUCCUUGCUUAUACUGGGCACCAAGAGAAAUCAUGUCUGUAAUACUUGGAGUUCUUUUUUAAUUAAAAAAAGUUAAAUUUUUUAUUUGUUCUAAUUGAUUCCAUGACAGCAGAAUGCAUUUCUAUUUACUGUACACAAAUGGAGCACAACUUUGCAUUUCUCUGGUUGUAUGUGAUGCAGAGCCACACCAUUCAUAUAAUCAUACAUAUACCUAGGGUACUGAUGCCUGUCUCAUUCCACCAUCUUUCCUAUCCCACGCCCCCUUCCUUCCCCUCACUCUCCUCUGUUCAGUUCAGAUUUCCGAUAUUGUUCCCAUGCCCUGCCCCCCCCCCCAUUAUGGAUUAGCUUCCACUUAUCAGAGAAAACAUUUGGUCUUUGGUUUGUUGGAAUUGACUUACUUCACUUAACAUGGUAUUCUCCAACUUCAUCCAUUUACUUGCAAAUGCCAUAAUUUUAUUCUUUUAGUGGUGAGUAAUAUUUCACUGUGUAUAUAUGCCAUGGUUUCUUUAUCUACUCAUCCAUUGAAGGGCAUCUAGGUUGCUUCCACACUUUAGCUAUUGUGAAUUGCGCUAACAUCGAUAUGGCUGCCUCACUGUAGUAUGCCAAUUUAAAGUCCUUUGGGUAUGUACCAAGGAAUGGGAUAAAUGGGUCAAAUGGUGGUUCCAUUCCAAGUUUUCCAAGGAAUCUCCAUACUGCUUUCCAGAGUGGUUGCACCAAUUUGUAAUCCCACCAGAAUUAUAUGAAUGUACCUGUUUUCCCACAUCAUCAACAACACUUAUUGUUGCUUAUAUUCUUGAUAACUGCCAUUUUGACUUGGAGUUCUCAAAGGAAAUUCAGACUUGAUAGGUUAAAACAAAACCCAUUAUCCUGUCUAACUUGCUCAGAUAUGGUCCAUGUGCAGCCCUCCUUUUCUCAAAUAAGACAUAUAUCAUCAAAUUAUGCAAACUAAAAUGCUUAAUAAGUUUUUUCUCUUUUCCCACUAUAUUCAAACUACACCAUUCUCUGCUGACUUAUUGCUCCUAAACCAUGCAUGAUAAAGGAGAUAUAUAUAUGUGUGUGUGUGUGUGUGUGUGUGUGUGUGUGUGUGUGUGUCCUCAAGUUGGUUAAUUUUUUUGUCAUGGUGAAAAGCACAAUUUUUAAUGUAUGAAGAAUGGACAGGCAUAUGGUUCAUAAAGGGAUGUCCUCUUACCUCUGUAUUAAAGUCACACAGAGGAGGGGUUAUUCAAAAUGUCCAAGUGGUGAUUAAAAUGAAGUUGAGAAAUACUGUCUGCAUCAAAAUGCAGAAGUUAUUCUCUAAUAUUUUCUGGUCAAGGUUACUAUUAUUUCAUGUCUUUAAUCUGGUAGUAGUGUUUCCAUCCUAUUUUCCCUUUAUCUGAUCUAAUUGCCUUACAAUCUCCUAAGCACAUGUCAUCAGGGCAGCAUUUCACAUCUGAUCAUCUCACCCACUGUUUUAAAUCUUUCAAGUGCUUCUCAUUUCCCUUAGGGUAUAAGCAGGGACUUAGAUGGCAUUACAGGACUUACAUGGCAUUAUCAUGGUUUUAGUUUUGUUUAUUUCUACAGUGCAUCUCACAUUACAAAGACCCAACAUUCUGCAGUCAGGUCUCUCUUUCCUUCUUCUAGCAUCCUGUCUUUUCUGCACUCUCCAUGCAGCAGUGGAACUAUGUACCUUUCCUCUCCCAUCUUUGCCUUUGAGUUCCUCCCAUCCACCAGAUCUCAGCUGAUCCAGUUCUUCCUCUGAGAAACAUUUCCUGACUUUCAACCUAUGUCAGAUUCUAUGUUAGAACUCUUUGAAAUCAUAUUCCUCCUUCAGAGCAAAUAAUCAGUUUGAGUUUAAAUGCUCAUAUUGGAUUAAUAAUUCCAGUCGUCAUUAGAUUAUAAAUGAGCAAGGUGGUGUCUUUGUUAGUUUACAUCACAUUCCCAGGAGUGAGCACUGUGCUAGACACAUAGUAGGCAUACUCCAAAUAUCCUGAACAAAUGAACAACUAAAUACAUGAAUGCAUCCUGUUGCUGAUCUGUAUUCUUUAAUCCUUUUAAUAUCUUUCUAUUGCGUUUGGAACAAAAUCAUGUUGUUUCAUGUUCUUUCAAUUCUUUCAUGAUCUCAGCUUCUAACUUUGCAAUUUCUCAGCACUCUUCUUCGUGCGUUUUUUUUUUUUUCCUUUUCUUACUUUUGGCUUGGUUGCACCUUAUAUUAUCUUACCUUAGUGCUAUUGCUCAUACUCUCCAUUGCUUAUAAUUCUCCUGAGUCUGUGCCAUAUGAGUAUCUUAUAAUCUUGGCCCUGGUAUUAAGUGACAUUUCUUUAUAACCAUAUUUCAAAAAGUCCAGUAUAUCCUCAUCAUUCUGUUUCUCUUUAAUUUGUUUGUUUCUACAUUUUUUUAUUUGUUUAUUUUUCAGGAAGUGAAUUGGUCUAGUAGGGAACUGGCUACAUGAGUUUGAACACCAGGUAAGAGAUCUGAGAUAUAAUUCCAAAAUGGAAAAAAGAAGUCUCCAUUCCAAAUGAAACUUUGAUUAAGAAUUAUCCACAAAUAAGAAAAAUAAAGAGCUACUCAAGAGAAGAUAAAGCAAAAUAAUACGUUCUUAUAAGAUCCCCUCAAGAGUUCUGCAUAGUGUUCAAACUUAGUGCUCCACCCUAGAACAUGACAGUCACAACAAAGUACCAUCAACCAUUAGAUUAAGUACAUUCCCAAGUUAAAUGUCACUAUGGCGUCUUUUAGGCAUUGCUCAUUCAAU
rnacentral:lncRNA from 1 species